rnacentral:rRNA from 1 species
GUGGGGAAUAUUGCACAAUGGGCGAAAGCCUGAUGCAGCAACGCCGCGUGAGUGAUGAAGGCCUUCGGGUUGUAAAGCUCUGUCUUCUGGGACGAUAAUGACGGUACCAGAGGAGGAAGCCACGGCUAACUACGUGCCAGCAGCCGCGGUAAUACGUAGGUGGCAAGCGUUGUCCGGAUUUACUGGGCGUAAAGGAUGCGUAGGCGGAUACUUAAGUCAGAUGUGAAAAUCCCGGGCUUAACUUGGGAACUGCAUUUGAAACUGGGUAUCUAGAGUGCGGGAGAGGAAAGUGGAAUUCCUAGUGUAGCGGUGAAAUGCGUAGAGAUUAGGAAGAACACCAGUGGCGAAGGCGACUUUCUGAACCGUAACUGACGCUGAGGCAUGAAAGCGUGGGGAGCAAACA